rnacentral:rRNA from 1 species
UACGUAGGCAGCAAGCGUUGUUCGGAAUUACUGGGCGUAAAGAGUAUGUAGGCGGUCUGCUUAGUCUGGUGUGAAAUCUCCCGGCUUAACUGGGAGGGUGCGCCGGAUACUGGCGGGCUUGAGUGUGGGAGAGGGAAGCGGAAUUCCUGGUGUAGCGGUGAAAUGCGUAGAUAUCAGGAGGAACGCCUGCGGUGUAGACGGCUUCCUGGACCACUACUGACGCUGAGAUACGAAAGCGUGGGGAGCAAACAGG